rnacentral:rRNA from 1 species
UACAGAGGUCUCGAGCGUUGUUCGGAUUCAUUGGGCGUAAAGGGUGCGUAGGUGGUUCGUUAAGUCUGAUGUGAAAGCCCCGGGCUCAACCUGGGAACUGCAUUGGAUACUGGCGAUCUGGAGUGCGGUAGAGGGUGGCGGAAUUCCCGGUGUAGCAGUGAAAUGCGUAGAUAUCGGGAGGAACAUCCGUGGCGAAGGCGGCGC